rnacentral:rRNA from 1 species
AUUGACCGCUGGCGGCAGGCUUAACACAUGCAAGUCGAACGCGUGGCGGCCGGGUGAGUAAUGCUUGGGAAUCUGGCUUAUGGCGGGGGAUAACGACGGGAAACUGUCGCUACUAACGCGUACCAUCGGCUGAGCCCAAUGGGGAUUAGGUAGUUGGUGGGGUAAUGGCCUACCAAGCCGACGAUCUCUUGCUGGUCUGAUAGGCUGACCAGCCACAUCUGGACGGAGACACGGCCCUGAAUCCGCCGUGAGUCAGCAGUGGGGAAUAUUGCGCAAUGGGGGCAACCUUACGCAGCCAUGCCGCGUGAAGGAAGAAGGCCUUCGGGUUGUAAAGUUCUUUCGGUGACGAGGCGUUGAUCACAGAAGGAGCACCGGCUAACUCCGUGCCAGCAGCCGCGGUAAUUC